AGGCGUUUUUAUAUUUUUUUCCUCUCUACGUCUUUGGUAAGCAGUCGUGUUAUACUAGCAUGGAGCUUGUGGUUCCAUGAGAAGCUUAAUCUGCCAUAACAUCAUAAUGUCAAGCAGCUCCACCCUGCUCCAUGACUUGUCAUGUUUGAUUGGCCUGUCUGCAAACAUUCUUCCAUAUAUUCCAUCGUGUUUUGAGCUCCAAGGGCCCACAACUAGCUUCAUUACUAGGAGCUAGGAAAACAUCAGUGCUCGUAAUUUCAAUGGGCUGUGAGUAUAAGAAGAAUCCCAGACACGGUAGUCCUAGACCUGGUCUGGAUCCUCCAGGGUUGGCCUGAAGCCAGCUUUGAUCAAGGUCAGGAGUGCGUGACUCUAAUGCCACAAAUCCAAUCAAGGCCCCAUGACAUGAGGGCCUGUGUCAAAAUCUCAGAGCCACUGCUCCAUGGGCCGUUUUCUCGUAAUGGAAAGUGAAGCAUUGGUUUCUGUCAGUUUUUUGUUUGUGCUUGUCUCCUCGAUGAAUCCUGCAUUUGUAUGAGCUCAUUUGUGGCUGUGUUUCUGUCUGUGUUAUGUGUUUUAGACCCAAAUCCACGUCCACGCCACAGUAACCAGUAUGUUUCCACAGAAACUCAAAGGCAAACACGUCCUACAUUCAAGGACAACUUUAAAGUUCACCAAGCAGCAAAAGAAAUUCACAAAUUACCGAAAGCAGAGGAAAAACAAUCUUACCAGUGGCUCCACACACAAGCAGUCCAUCCCGACACAGACUCCACGGGCACGGGACGGGAUCAUUUCCUCCCUGAUAUUGACCAGGAUAUUCUUAAUGGUGGGAGGGUGCAGCUUGUGGCCAUAGGGGACAGAGACGGUGUAGAUUCGGGAGCAAGAUUUUGGGCUGACUCCACUAGUGUCUCUCCACCUCUCAAUAAGCAUACUCCGCCUCGAAGAUACUCAGCUGAAAACACAAAAACAGAAAUGCCAUCACCCACAAGAGUCAAUUCAGCUCCGAACCGAAAUGAACGCAUCUCAUUCCGGGACAACCCAGUGCGACACAGCGGAGGCUGGGGUGGAGGAAAAAAGAGAACCAAAUUGAACAAAUGAAUUAGAAGCAAUGGAUGAGAUAUAGCCCAAAUAUCUGCAGGCGGUCACAGGAUACGUAUUGCUUUCAAGAAUCACUCCAUUUAACAUGAGCACUGCAAGCCAUGGACUGGGUGGAAACCAUUUACAAAUGACAUGCUUAAUAUGCAGACAAUGACAUGCAAUAGAAACCAGCUCUUUCCUGUUUUAAUUUACUUUAGAGUUUUUUUCUUUCUUUUUACUGGGAAUUUGUGUUGUUCUUAAAGCUAAAAAUAAGACAAUGCACAUUAAAUGAAAGUAAUAUAUCAAAGAUUACUUUCAGUAAAUUAUUUGGUUUAUACACACUUCUUCUUCAAAUACCUAUUUUGUAAUCUCUCAUAAAAUGCAUCUAUGGCAAACAAGUCCAAAAAGCAAUGCAAUCAGAGUUAGAAGCGUUUUCUUUAGUGUUCUUUAGUAUCAGAUAACGAUAUCCUUGUGUAUUUUAAUUUGGAUAUCAAAAAGCUGAAUGUUCAGAAACAGUGGUUGGAAAAUAAUUUCCUGGCACCAGCUUGGAGCUAAUUUUUAUGCCUGUAGAAAUGCUUAAAUAAAUCUUGAAAAGGGAUGUCUUGUUAGUGGGAA
ensembl:lncRNA